rnacentral:rRNA from 1 species
UGAUAGGAAUGCUUAGUGGCGGACUGGUGAGUAACGCGUGAGGAACCUGCCUCUCAAAGGGGGACAACAGUUGGAAACGACUGCUAAUACCGCAUGACACAUCGGAAGGGCAUCCUUCUGAUGUCAAAGAUUUAUCGCUGAAAGAUGGCCUCGCGUCUGAUUAGCUAGUUGGUGAGGUAACGGCCCACCAAGGCGACGAUCAGUAGCCGGACUGAGAGGUUGAACGGCCACAUUGGGACUGAGAUACGGCCCAGACUCC